rnacentral:lncRNA from 1 species
AACAUAAGAAAUAUGCUAUGUCCUUACAAUCAUCACCAAGUUUUACAUGAAAUUAUUCACCGAAUCACUUAACUUCGGCACAGUACAACAAGCCUCUAAAUAUACACAAGUACUAAAUACAUUCAGUGUACGCCACGGUGCCUGUAUAGUUUCUAGCAAUACGCAAUCACCUCACCAACUUGUCCAGUGGCUGAGCAGCUGCUAUCUUAUCCAGUGAAGCCAAAGUGGCAGAAUGGUGUACAAUACCAUACAUGCCUUUUUUCAAGAACUUGAGUGGCCAAUAUUGGAAUGAAAAUCUUUGGAUUUACCUAGUGUUCAAAAACCCUCAACUUGGCCAAAAUAUUCGGGGCCUGAUCGAGGCGAGUUAUUCUUGAUUUUAUAAAACAGCGUUUGGGCAGUUGGUCUUAUCCUUUGUAUCCAACAGUGAACUUUAGGGAAGAGAGAGGGAGACUUGAGGAGAAAUAAUGGAAAUUGUUGGUCUUUUCGGAGAGGAAAAAUAACCAAGUUUUCGUGCCAAUCUAACUGGGCCAAUUUUUUUUACAGAAAAGCAAGGCAUCUCUCUUUUGUCGGAUCAGAGACGGGAGAGUUGAGAACCGAUUGGGAAGUAAGAGACAAGAAUUGGGGCUCCUCCCUUUUUCUUGUUGGACUUGGAGUCCCUUUUGCUUGGUUUUGAAGAUUGGUUUUGUUUGGAAUCCUCCAUACUCUUGGAUGAUGAAGAAACUCUAGCAGAUGAGGAGGAACUGCCAAAACAACUGAAAACACUAAACAGGCCCAUGGCCAGUGUGUAUCUUGUUCUGUGACAUUUUCCUCACCAAGAUGUACUUCUUAUAUGGUGGGUCUUUGUAAGUGUAGACAAAAGGGCAUAUUGAAAAAGACCUUUGACAAGAGACAGAGAGGACCCCAAUCAAUUACUUGGAGAGCAAGAUUCAUUUGUUAUAACACACAUGUAAUAUAUGAUGGUUGUAUGUAAGAAUAACAAAGACACAAAGCAAGAGCAGGUAGGAACACUGUGCACUUAGUCCUUAGGUCAAAAGACUAUUUUUAAUCUCCCAUUGUGAGGUCCACUUUCUUGUUUUCAAAAGGUAAAAUGUCAUUUAAAGGUUCAAAUUGUGUCACAAAAUUAUUAAAGGGCUCAUGAGAUCACAUUUACCAUUUUUAGGGUUUGGAAACUUGUAUAAUUUGGUCAAUUAUGAAAAUUUCCCAAGAUGUUUAUGGUCGGGAAAUUUUGAAAGGACCAAGAUCUAUGAAAACUUAAAAAUCUUGAAAAUUGAUGGUCCAAAAAUAUGUUACAAGAUGCACUAUUUCUAAAACUUAAAAUCCAUUUUUUCUCAUGUCUAUGAAUCUGGAUAUCAACAUGAUCAAUUUAAAGAUAUUUAGCAUCAAAAGAACCUCUUCUAGUGAAAUUUUUGAGGUGAGGUGGGCUUUAAUUUGAUUGUUUAGAGCCUCGGCUCUAUAUAAACUUUUUUCAAAAGAAAAUGGCCAUGGUG